CUCCUCAAGAAUUAAUUUGAGGUAUAGCCUGCUCUAUGAAUUUAUUUAAAUGGCCGCGGUAUUCUGACCGUGCGAAGGUAGCAUAAUCAUUAGUCUUUUAAUUGAAGGCUGGUAUGAAUGGCUGGACGAGAAAAUUUCUGUCUCUGUUAUAAAUUUUGAAUUUGAUUUUUAAGUGAAAAAGCUUAAAUAUUUUUGGGGGACGAUAAGACCCUAUGGAUCUUUAUAAUGAUGAUUAAUAAAAAGUUUAGAAGUUACAGCUUUUUACUCUAAGUUAUUGGGUUGGGGCGACCGGAAGAAAAGAAUAUCUCUUCUUAAAAAUAAAUAUUAUUUAUAGAAUUAAAAAUGACCCUAAAUUUUGGUUUAGCAGAUCAAGUUACCCUAGGGAUAACAGCGUAAUCUUUUUGGAGAGUUCAUAUCGAUGAAAAGGUUUGCGACCUCGAUGUUGGAUUAAGAGAUCCUUGCGGCGCAGCAGUUGCGGAGGAAAGUCUGUUCGACUUUUAAAUUCUU
rnacentral:rRNA from 1 species